rnacentral:misc_RNA from 1 species
GAUGAAGAACGCAGCGAAAUGCGAUAAGUAAUGUGAAUUGCAGAAUUCAGUGAAUCAUCGAAUCUUUGAACGCACAUUGCGCCCCUUGGUAUUCCGAGGGGCAUGCCUGUUCGAGCGUCAUUAUAACCCCUCAAGCUCAGCUUGGUGUUGGGGCCUGCUGCACUGGCAGCCCUUAAAAUCAGUGGCGGCGCCAUCUGGCUCUAAGCGUAGUAAUUCUUCUCGCUAUGGAGUCCUGGUGGAUGCUUGCCAUCAACCCCCAAUUUUUCUAUGGUUGACCUCGGAUCAGGUAGGGAUACCCGCUGAACUUAAGCAUAUAAAUAAGCGGAGGA